rnacentral:rRNA from 1 species
UACGGAGGGUGCGAGCGUUGUCCGGAAUCACUGGGCGUAAAGGGCGCGUAGGCGGCUCGGUAAGUAGGGGGUGAAAUCCUGCGGCUUAACCGCAGGGCAGCCUUCUAAACUGUCGAGCUUGAGCACGGUAGAGGCAGAUGGAAUUCCCGGUGUAGCGGUGGAAUGCGUAGAGAUCGGGAAGAACAUCAGUGGCGAAGGCGACUCUUUGGCCUGUAACUGACGCUGAGGCGCGAAAGCGUGGGGAGCAAACAGG